rnacentral:lncRNA from 1 species
UGAGCUGGUCAACAGACGCAUGUCGGAAAUUGGAUGCAUGAAACAGGCCAUCACGUCUGUGCAAGCAUGAAGCGCGCCACGCAUAGGGUUUCCAUGCUAGUACAUACUUACCCCUCACCCUCCAGAGCUCAUCAAACUGCUCAAUCAAUUGCAGUUACAUUGAUUUUUUUCCCUCAUAUUAUAUCAAGCAUCAGCUCCAUCAUACCACUACAGUCUACAUUUUUUUUCCUUCUAGAAAAGCACUACAACAC